UUAUACUGCAAGUCGAGCGGCCUCUUUAGGGAGGCAGCGGCGAACGGGUUAGUAACGCGUGGGAACGUGCCCUUUAGUACGGAAUAGCCAUUGGAAACGAUGAUUAAUACCGUAUACGCCCUUAGGGGGAAAGAUUUAUCGCUAAAGGAUCGGCCCGCGUUAGAUUAGGUUGUUGGUGGGGUAAUGGCCUACCAAGCCUACGAUCUAUAGCUGGUUUGAGAGGAUGAUCAGCAACACUGGGACUGAGACACGGCCCAGACUUCUACGGAAGGCAGCAGUAGGGAAUCUUGGACAAUGGGCGAAAGCCUGAUCCAGCCAUGCCGCGUGAGUGAUGAAGGCCCUAGGGUUGUAAAACUCUUUCGCCAGGGAAGAUAAUGACGGUACCUGGUAAAGAAACCCCGGCUAACUCCGUGCCAGCAGCCGCGGUAAUACGGAGGGGGUUAGCGUUGUUCGGAAUUACUGGGCGUAAAGCGCACGUAGGCGGAUUAGUAAGUCAGAGGUGAAAUCCCGAGGCUCAACCUCGGAACUGCCUUUGAUACUGCUAGUCUAGAGUUC
rnacentral:rRNA from 1 species